GACCGUGCGAAGGUAGCAUAAUCAUUAGUUUUUUAAUUGAAGGCUAGAAUGAAUGGUUGGACAAGAAAUAAUCUGUCUUAAUUAAAUAUAUUGAAUUUAACUUUUAAGUGAAAAGGCUUAGAUAAUCUGAAGGGACGAUAAGACCCUAUAAAACUUUAUAUUUAUAAGUUAAUAGUUAAUUUUAUUUAAAUAUAUUAUAUUUAAAUAUUUUGUUGGGGUGACAAGGAUAAAAUUAAAAAUAACUGUCUUUUUUUAUAACAAUAAUGUUUGUAUUAAUGAUCCUUAAAUGGAUUUAAGAUUAAGUUACUUUAGGGAUAACAGCGUAAUUUUCUUUAAGAGUUCUUAUCGACAAGAAAGUUUGCGACCUCGAUGUUGAAUUAAAAGUUCUUUAUAGAGUAGAGACUAUAAAAGAGGGUCUGUUCGACCUUUAAAUUUUUACAUGAUUUGAGUUCAGACCGGUGUGAGCCAGGUUGGUUUCUAUCU
rnacentral:rRNA from 1 species